rnacentral:lncRNA from 1 species
UGUCCGCCUCAACAGGAGAAAAGACAAACAGUUCCACAGCACUUCACACAAUGCCUGCUAGGUCGCGAUUGUUGUAAGCUACUUUUUACUACUGCAGUUAUUCAGACCUAUGUUAUGUUGAGGGAUUAGGCAGAGAAUUAAUCACAGGCCUUUCCCUCAGUGUUGGCUGCCAAGACUGGGGAAAACAGAUAUAGGAGGCAAACCAAGAGAGAUCAAAACAUUGGUUUUAUGACAGAAGUGGCUGAACGUCACCCAACUCGGAAAGUCUGUCUACCUGCACGCCUUAAUUUCUCUCUUGCCUCCAUCAGGGUCGGAGGGGUCGAGGAGCCUGGAUCCCGCCUGAGCUGGGCGUGCGCCAUCGUGGAAGCACCACGGGGAUUGCCAGGACAGGUGACUCACGGCCGGGAGUGAGCGGGCAGGAGCGGCCCAAGCCGGGCCACCAUCACCCAAGCAGGCUGCACAUCUCUCCACUCCACGACUCAGUCUCCUCGUAUGCCAAGUGGGAAUGAUAAAGUCAACAACAUUUGGCCAACAUGACUGGAGACCUCAGGAAGCCUUCUUACAAAGGCCUGAUCCUCAUUACCAUGGAAACCAGGUAGUGGAUCUUAGCAAAACAGCUCAGACCAUUUUUCCUACCGAGACGCGAUGUUCAGGAGAGCACGUCCGGUUGCUGGUGGUCAGAACCCAGCAAGUUCUUGGAAGGCCCUGGGAAGGGCCGAUCAGGGUGAGGUCAGAGGCUAACGUCAUUUUCCUCGUGGCAGCUCUGGGCCGUCUCUGCAGUGUGAAAUAUUUGUGGUCUCCCCGACUUUCUGUGGGUCAGUCACUUUUUUGCUUAGGAUUUAUGAUGGGGGAGCUGGGACCAACCAUCUGUGCCAGCAACUUCAAAGAUGUGUUUUGGUUUACAUUCUGUUACAAUGAAGCUGAUGCAAAUUGGUUUUGUUUUUUUUUAAAUUAUUUACUUGUUUUGGAAAGGGUCUAAUAAAGGGAUGAAUGAGUCCUGGCCAUGGUUAUAAUAUGGUUU